ACUAGUGUUAGUCCCGUUUCAUCUUGUCUUAGUGUGUGGUCAGAUCCUAAAUGUCAGUGGCAAAAGAGUCAUGUCUAUGGUUUAUGUCAAUUGUCAUUUGUCAACGUCAAUUUAUUAAUUCGAUCUAAUGUCAAUGUCAAAGUAACGUGGAACCGUGGUGAACUAUUUAAUUUUAAAUAAUUUAUUUUUAUAAUUUGUAUUAAGUAUAUGAAUUAGUUAAAAGUAAUUAAGUAUAAUGUCUUUAAUAACGCGCACAGACGUGACAGCUGUAAAGCUGUAUCAAUCUUUUAUUAUCGCAGGUAUAGGAAGUAACAUAGAAGUGUACAAAAGAGAUUCUGGUAAAUUUAUUGAGAAAAUACCGGUAUUAAAAGGUCAGAAAAUAUAUGGUAUUGUACCAUCUAAUUUGGACUCAAAAUUUCUUAUUUUUGGCGGUAAACAGUUCACAAUAUUGGCAAGCAAAGCUGAACCGAUUGAAACAGAUGAAAACUUAAUUAUUGAACAUGAUGUGGAGGCCAUAGUUUGUGACGACUGGUUACAUUCAGGUGUUUGGAUGUCUAACAGCACAGUUGCUUUCCUGACAGCCCAUAAUGUAGUACAGAUUUGGAACAUAGAAAACAAGUUUUUAGAGGGACAAUAUGCAAGUCCUGAUAACUCUAUACUAUAUAGUGGGUUACUGUUACCACUACAAGACAAGCUCUUGGUGUUCAGUGGCACAGUGUUCUCUGAGGUCAUUGUACAGUGGUGCGGGGAUGACCAGGCACUACAACAUUUAAAAGGUCAUAAGGGUGUCAUUUUCUCUAUAACCUGCGACCCAGUUAAAAGCAUAAUAGUAACUACUUCUGAUGAUAGAUCACUGCGAAUUUGGAGCAUUAAAAGUCUACCAAAUUUUGAAUACACAUCCAAAGGCUACUGGGAAAAUGCAGACAUUGUUUGCAUGCAUGAAUUAUAUGGGCAUACUGCUAGAGUCAUGCAAAACUGUAUUACUAGUGACUAUAUCAUUUCUAUAGGUGAAGAUUCCGGUAUCUGCUUUUGGAAUCUUGAAGGGAAGUUACUAAGGAAAUUGGUGUCACAUCAAAAUGCUUGUAUAUGGUCUUUAGAUGCAAAUGACAAGUAUUUAGUGACUGGUGGUGGUGAUAGUGGUGUCAUAUUACAUCCUAUGUCACUAUUAACUGAAUAUUGUAAUAGUGACAUUAUUAAAAUAGAUAUAGGGUCGGUUAAGAAACUUGAAUUUACAGCCAGAGGCAACAUAGUUAUUAUAAACGAUAAUGACUUAAUUUACUAUGAUUUGAAAUCUAACACAAAUGAAGUUUAUAAUUUAAAUCAUAAAUCCACAUAUAAAUUACUUAGUUUAUCAGCUUGUAAACAAAUAAUAGCAGUUGUUGGUAUGACGGGAAAACUAGACGUAUUUAUAGAAAAUUGUAGAAGUGAUGUGGGAAUUAAAAAUAUAAUUAAUAAAGAGUUGAAUUUAGGUAAUAUACUAUCUAUGCAAUGGGCGAGUAACAGACAUUUGGUUAUUUGUUCUGACAAUGGACAAAUUACGGUUAUAGCUUCAAAAGAAAGUGAUAUUGAAGUGUUAGCAAACUUUAUUCUACCACCCUGUAAAGAAAGAUGGUUAACUUCAAGUGCUAUGAGUGAUAAUCAUCAAAUGCUAGUAGUAAGUGACAGAAAUGGUCGUAUACAUAUAUAUCUACGCGGCAAUAAGAAUCCUCUUAAAACAUUUGACAAAGUUCAUGGUCGAUAUGGUGCUACCAAUAUAAAAAUAAGUAAUAAUCAAAUAAUCACAACUGGGAGAGAUGGUACCAUUAAAUAUUUUUCAAUGAAUAAAAGUACAAAUGAAAUAAAAUACAUGAGUUCAAGAGAUUUAGAGUUUCAAUGGGUAGAAAAGUUCUUGGAUAAGAACAACAGUUAUAUUUGUGGAUUUCAAGAAAGAAUUUUUGUUGUGUAUGAUAUCAAGAAUAAUAUAAAAAUACUUGAAGUGAAUUGUGGUGGCGGACAUAGAUCUUGGGAUGCGGUUCGAUAUUUUGAAAAGCUGAAUGAUAAUUUUGAAGAAUUCAUUAGACUUAUUUAUCUCAAAAACUCUGAAAUACAUUUGGAAACUUUUCAUGUAAGCAAAAUUGUAUCAAGAAAUAUUAUAAAUGGAACACAUUCAAAAGAAAUUAAUUGUUUGAAAACUCAUGUAUUUAAUAAUGAUGGAAAAACUGUAUUUUAUAUAUCAGGGGGUGAAGACACAACUUUAAGAAUAUCUAGAUCAAUCCUAGACACAAAAUUUCUUGACGAAAUAGUUUUUAAACAAUUGUCUAGUAUUAGAACCUUAAAAUUGUUACUAUUGGAAGAAAAUAAAAUACUUUUAGUAUCGGCCGGUGGUAGAGCACAGAUUUGUGUAAAAAUAGUAACUUUAAAUGAUGAUAAUAUAAAUUCAGAAGAAAUAUUAGAUUAUUUAAUAAAAGGUACUGAUAAAGAAAGGAAAGGUAAUCGCAAUUGGAAGGAUUGCUCGAUCGAUUUUGAUCCAGAAACUAGAAUAAUGGAUGUAGACAUUUUAAAAAUUGAUGAAAGUGACUUUUUAAUAAUCGUUGGAUGUUCUGAUGGUAUUUUACGAGUUUUCAGACUCGAGAAUAACUCUAAAGUUGAGUUUAAAUUGAUAAAAGAGAUUAAGCAUCAUAAAACAUGCAUUUUAAAAACACAUAUAUUCAAAUUAAUUAACAAAAAUAUAUUAGCGACAGCUACGACCAGAGGAAACAUUGCUUUUUGGGAUAUCGAAAAUAACUUCACAGAUUUGUAUAGAAUUUUCGAAAUGAAAACCAAUAAAUCAGGAAUAAACAGUAUAGAUGUGAAAGUAAUUAGUGAAACACAGUUUAUAUUGGCCACAGGCGGUGAUGACAAUGCAAUACAUUUAAAUGUAUUGGAAAUCACUGACAAUUUGAAAUCAAUAAAAGUCAAUGAUAGUUGGUCAAGUGAUAAAUACCACUGUUCCCAAAUCACUGGAUUAAAAUUAAUCGAUGAUUUCAUGGCGACAACAAGCAUCGAUCAGAGAAUAACCCUGUUUAGAUUGACAAUUAAAAAUGAUAUUGUUUGUGAAUUUAUUUCGCAAAGUUUUAGCGAUGUUGCUGAUAUACAAGGCAUAGAUAUAAUAAGUUUUUCUGAAGAUUCAAUUAAAGUUUGCGUGUUCGGAAAAGGGAUGGAAGUCUUAGAAAUCUUGACGAGUAAAAAUAUCGAAAGUUAAACCUUGGCGAUGGAUUGGAUGCAUAAUGCAAUUACUUGUAUGAAGAGACAAAAAUUAUUGAUGUCCGUGGAGGUGAGUCCGGUGACGGCGCCGGUGUGGCUGGGCGAGGGCCCGCACUGGUCGCACCACCACCGCGCCUUAUUCUUCGUCAGCAUCUUCGACAAGUCCGUACACAAGUAUGACCCUGUCACCGGCAAGC